UGGGGAAUAUUGGACAAUGGGCGCAAGCCUGAUCCAGCAAUACCGCGUGUGUGAAGAAGGCCUGAGGGUUGUAAAGCACUUUCAAUAGGGACGAAAUGCCUGGGGUUAAUAACUCCGGGACUUGGCUUAACCUAUAGAAGAAGCACCGGCUAACUCCGUGCCAGCAGCCGCGGUAAUACGGAGGGUGCAAGCGUUAAUCGGAAUUACUGGGCGUAAAGCGCUCGUAGGCGGCUUGUUAAGUCGGAUGUGAAAGCCCCGGGCUCAACCUGGGAACUGCAUUCGAUACUGGCAGGCUAGAGUAUAGUAGAGGCAAGUGGGAUUCCGGGUGUAGCGGUGAAAUGCGUAGAUAUCCGGAGGAACAUCAGUGGCGAAGGCGACUUGCUGGACUAAUACUGACGCUAAGGAGCGAAAGCGUGGGGAGCAAACGGGAUUAGAUACCCCGGUAGUCCACGCCCUAAACGAUGUCAACUAGUUGUCGGGGAAGCAAUUCCUUGGUAACGAAGCUAACGCGUGAAGUUGACCGCCUGGGGAGUACGGCCGCAAGGUUA
rnacentral:rRNA from 1 species